GUGCCAGCCGCUGCGGUAAUACGGAGGGGCUAGCGUUGUUCGGAAUUACUGGGCGUAAAGCGCGCGUAGGCGGACUUUCAAGUCAGGGGUGAAAUCCCGAGGCUUAACCUCGGAACUGCCUUUGAUACUGUUGGUCUUGAGUCCGGGAGAGGUGAGCGGAAUUCCUAGUGUAGAGGUGAAAUUCGUAGAUAUUAGGAAGAACACCAGUGGCGAAGGCGGCUCACUGGCCCGGUACUGACGCUGAGGCGCGAAAGCGUGGGGAGCAAACAGGAUUAGAUACCCUGGUAGUCCACGCCGUAAACUAUGGAUGCUAGCCGUCGGGAGCUUGCUCGUCGGUGCGCAGCUAACGCAUU
rnacentral:rRNA from 2 species